rnacentral:lncRNA from 1 species
UUACAUUUGUCGGUAAUUUUAUUAUUUAUUUGCACCUGUUAGAAUAUUUCAGCCAACAUGACAGCACAACCAACCAACAAAAAGCAUCUUGUAUCCAUUGUGUAAGCUGGUGUAUGUGCUGGUGCAUAUCCUGAUUUUCAGGAAAUGCAUGUGAAACCGUUAGCCACCUGGAAUUAUUUGUUUUAGAAGUCUAGAAUAUUCUUUGUAUGUAAUUGCUUGUAUAGUAUCUCUGUAUAUAUAUGUUGGAUGUAAAGAAAAGUAAAAUAUUCAAAUACAAAAAUAUCAGUUCAAUUCUUUACUUGGUAUCAGAGCCAAUAUGGCUAACACCGGUUCAGGAAGUCAUCCAGCUCCAAUUGAUUCAAGCACAGCAUCAUUCACCCAAGUUGCUGCAAAUCAGAGUUCACCAUUUGGAAUGAACCUUACUCAGACUCCAUAAGUAAAACUCGACAGGAACAACUACUUGCUAUGGAAAAAUAUGAUUAUGCCAAUAAUCAAAGGGCAUAACCUAGAGGGAUAUUUGCUGGGGACAAAGCAGUGUCCACCAGAAUUCCUAGCCACUCAAACCACUACUGGUCAAGGAGAAGCUGUAGAAAUGACUCAGAAUCCUGAGUAUAAUAGGUGGAUCUCAACUGAUCAACUGUUGAUUGGGUGGUUAUACUCAUCCAUGACCCCAGAAAUAGCAAUGAGAGUCAUGGGAUGCAACAGUUCAAGCAAGUUAUGGACUGCAGUGGAGGAAAGCUAUGGUGUACUGAACAAGUCAAGGGUCGUGUUUCUCACUGGAGAACUACAAAGGAUGAGGAAAGGCACUAUGUCUAUGGAUCAAUACCUCACCACCGUCAAACAACUGGCUGAUAAUCUGGAAAUAGCUGGGAAAGCUAUUGACCACAGUGAUCUUGUAACUCAGGUUUUAUCAGGGUUGGAUGAAGAAUACACACCUAUAGUGGUACAAGUUAACAGCAGGGAUAAUAUAUCCUGGCAUGAGCUGUCUUCUGUGCUGAUGACAUUUGAAAGUAGGCUUGAGUAUUUGAGUCAAGUCAGGGACAACUUUGCAUCACUGAAUGUUGGUCAAUCAAGUGUUCAACUGGCCCAAAGAGCUAGCUCAGGUGGUGGCAGAAUUUUUAGAGGUACCAACAGAGGUAGAUCCUUAAAUUUCAGAGGGAGAACGAGAGGUAGAGGUAGAGUAGGCAGGCAAAAUGAAAUUAAAGGCCCUUGCCAAAUCUGUGGACUCAACAACCACUCAGCCAGCUGGUGUUUUAACAGGUACGAUGACAGAUACAUGGGCAGCAGACCAAGUAAUCAAAACCAUCAGAACAACAGCCCAGCUCCUUCUGCAUAUGUGGCUUCACCAAGAACUGUUGAAGAUCCAGCCUGGUUUGCAGAUUCCGGUGCAAGCAAUCAUGUAACAUCCGACAAAGGUAAUCUGUAUACAGUCAAGAAAUAUGAAGGUAAGGAAAAAUUGAUAGUUGGUGAUGGGAAGUCAUUACACAUUGCACAUAUUGGAAAAGGAAAUGUUCCCACAGUUGAUGAUAAGUCUCUUACACUAAACAAAGUAUUGCAUGUGCCUUCAAUUAAAAAGAAUUUAGUUAGUGUUUCUCAACUUACAAGUGAUAACAAUGUAUUUAUGGAAUUUUUUCCUGAUUGUUGUAUUGUUAAGGAUCUGCAAACGAAGAGGACUCUACUGCAAGGAAUGCUUAAGGAUGGGCUGUAUCAGCUAAGGUUGCCAAGGUUCAAGCCAAAACUUGAUACUAUAGAGUCAAACCACCAAAAUAAUCCCAACUGCUUCACAGUGAAAUCCAAUUGUGAUGAGUCAACCAACGAUGUCAAAGUGCCAGAGUCAGAACUUGAUAUUUGGCAUAGGAGACUAGGCCAUCCUUCGAACCAUGUGUUGAGUCAUGUUUUAAAGUCCUGUAAUAACUUUACCAAAGCUAAUGGAAGUCCAACUUUCUGUGAAUCAUGUAAACUUGGCAAAUCUCAUGCAUUACCAUUUAAUACAUCCUCGUCAUAUGCAUCAAGUCCACUAGACCUUGUACACACAGAUGUCUGGGGACCUGCACCGUUGAAUUCUACCUCAGGUUUUAGGUACUAUAUCAUCUUUGUUGAUGACCACAGCAGAUUCACCUGGAUAUACCCUAUGAAACACAGAUCCGAGGCUCUAAAUAUCUUUAUUCAGUUCAAAAAAUUAGUUGAAAACAAAUUGGAAAGAAAGAUUAAAACACUUCAGUCAGACUGGGGAGGAGAGUUUAGAAACUUUGACAAAAUUGCAUUAGAAUCAGGUAUUGAACUUAGACACUCAUGCCCAUAUACCUCUGCACAAAAUGGCCGGGCAGAAAGGAAACAUAGACAUGUUACUGAGACUGGACUAACACUUCUAGCUCAAGCUCAAAUGCCUCUAUAUUACUGGUGGGAAUCAUUCAAAACAGCAACCUACUUGAUAAAUAGGCUACCUACUCCUAUACUUCAGCAUAAAUCACCAUUUCAAGCACUAUUUGGGAAAGACUUUGAUUAUAAAAUGCUAAAAACCUUUGGUUGCACCUGCUACCCCUGCCUUAGACCUUACCAAAAGCACAAAUUCAACUUCCAUUCUCAAAGGUGUGUCUUUCUUGGCUAUGGUGAUUCACACAAAGGUUAUAAGUGCCUAAGCUCAAGUGGUAGAAUCUACAUAUCCAGACAUGUUGUGUUCAAUGAACUGGAAUUUCCAUUCAAAUCUGGUUUUAUUAACAAAUCAGUCCAGUCACCAACUUCUGAAACUGUCAUGAGUCUUCUUCCCUUUGUUGUUGAGUCCAGUCACAAAACAAUUCCUCAAAAUGUAACUGAUACAGUCCAUCCUGGUGCAUCACUUGCUGCAGACUUCUCUAACAAUGAAAUAGAAACUGAAGUUGAAGAUGAAGUGGAUAUAGAAAACAAUGAUGCUCAGAGAAGUCAAGAACUAGUUGGUAAUGAGGUGGUCGAAGUCCAACAAAGGAGAUGUGAUACUGAAAAUACAGGAGAUGAUGUAAACCUUCAGGUCCAAAAUGCAACACAGAAUACUGGACAUCAGAUGAUCACCAGAAGCAAAGCUGGAAUCUUCAAACCAAAAGUUUACGCAAAUCAUGUACAGGACAAAUCAGUAGAAACCGAGCCACUAACUGCUAAUGAAGCACUACUGAGUAAUGGCUGGAAGAAGGCUAUGCAAGAAGAAUACAGUGCUUUGAUGAGGAAUAAAACAUGGACCUUGGUACCUCCUAAGCCUGGGAUGAAAAUAAUUGGCAACAAAUGGGUAUUUAAGUUAAAGUAUGACUCAGAUGGCAGAAUACAAAGGCACAAGGCAAGAUUAGUUGCCAAAGGAUUUCUUCAAACACCUGGAGUAGAUUUUGGAGAAACAUUCAGCCUCGUCAUCAAGGCAUCAACUUUGAAAAUCAUUUUAACACUUGCUGUGUCUAAAGAUUGGGACAUCAGACAAGUUGAUGUGAACAAUGCUUUCUUGAAUGGGAAGUUGAGUGAGGUA